AGGGUUUGAUCAUGGCUCAGAACGAACGCUGGCGGCAGGCCUAACACAUGCAAGUCGAGCGCACCCUUCGGGGCGAGCGGCGGACGGGUUAGUAACGCGUGGGAACAUACCCUUCUCUACGGAAUAGCCUCGGGAAACUGAGAGUAAUACCGUAUACGCCCUUCGGGGGAAAGAUUUAUCGGAGAAGGAUUGGCCCGCGUUAGAUUAGAUAGUUGGUGGGGUAAUGGCCUACCAAGUCUACGAUCUAUAGCUGGUUUUAGAGGAUGAUCAGCAACACUGGGACUGAGACACGGCCCAGACUCCUACGGGAGGCAGCAGUGGGGAAUCUUAGACAAUGGGCGCAAGCCUGAUCUAGCCAUGCCGCGUGUGUGAUGAAGGUCUUAGGAUCGUAAAGCACUUUCGCCAGAGAUGAUAAUGACAGUAUCUGGUAAAGAAACCCCGGCUAACUCCGUGCCAGCAGCCGCGGUAAUACGGAGGGGGUUAGCGUUGUUCUGAAUUACUGGGCGUAAAGCGUACGUAGGCGGAUCAGAAAGUAGGGGGUGAAAUCCCAGGGCUCAACCCUGGAACUGCCUCCUAAACUCCUGGUCUUGAGUUCGAGAGAGGUGAGUGGAAUUCCAAGUGUAGAGGUGAAAUUCGUAGAUAUUUGGAGGAACACCAGUGGCGAAGGCGGCUCACUGGCUCGAUACUGACGCUGAGGUACGAAAGUGUGGGGAGCAAACAGGAUUAGAUACCCU
rnacentral:rRNA from 1 species